rnacentral:rRNA from 1 species
GAUGAACGCUGGCGGCGUGCUUAACACAUGCAAGUCGAACGGUGAAGGCGGAGCUUGCUCUGCUGGAUCAGUGGCGAACGGGUGAGUAACACGUGAGCAAUCUGCCCCUGACUCUGGGAUAAGCGCUGGAAACGGCGUCUAAUACUGGAUACGAGCUGCGAAGGCAUCUUCAGCAGCUGGAAAGAACUUCGGUCAGGGAUGAGCUCGCGGCCUAUCAGCUUGUUGGUGAGGUAACGGCUCACCAAGGCGUCGACGGGUAGCCGGCCUGAGAGGGUGAACGGGCACACUGGGGAAUCGACACGGGCCCGACUCCUUCGGGAGGCAAGAGUGGGGAAUAUUUCCCAAUGGGCCGAAGCCCUAUGCAGCCACCCCCCGUUGGGGAAGGCGGCCCUUGGGUUUUAAACCCUUUUUUACCGGGAAGGAGGGGGAGUGAACGUAACCUGCAAAAAAACCCCCGCUAAAUUCCUG